GAUGUAGUUGCUGCUGAUGGAGU
rnacentral:siRNA from 1 species